CCGUGCCCCGCCGGUCCGCGGGCACGGACUGCAACACCGCACUUCUAGGAGGGAUGGUCCUAGCAGCAGAAGGAAACGCUGGGUCAUCUGUGGGGGCAGUAAACUGGAGCGUUUUUGGGGAUUGCGGCAUCGUUACCUGUCUCCUGGAUCUCUAACAGGGAGGAGGAGAGUGCAUUUCGUGCUAUGGAACACUGGCACCCUUUUCUAGUGUUCUUUUGUGGGAAAACGCCGGGGAUGUUGCAGGACCCGAAGAAGAGGAGCGCUGCCUGCAGAGCCUGGAAGAGGAGCUAAUUAACGAACCUCGUCAGCGGGCAGUGACCCCGCACCUGGAGGGAUGUGCAGGCGCUGCCCUGCCACCACCGGGCAAUGGCCCCGUCUGCCCCGACACCCUUCCCCUGGCACGGGAGGCAUUGCCGGCUCCUCCGGGGCUGCCCCGGGACUCUGCAGCCGCCACCGCCGCCGAGGGUGCGGGAGAAAACCCACGGACUGCUCGGCAGCUCGGAGGCAGCGGGAGCAACGCUGCCGGGACACAUCUGGCUGGAGAUGCACGUGGUGGGAGCCCCGUUCCAGGAACGGGAAGGAGCCGUGGCAGUCCUUAUGCCUCUCUGCUGAUACCAUGCCAAAGUUUUUUGGGAUAUAGUGUCUGGCUGGGUAAGGGUGAGAAGAGGGAGCGCAUCGGUAUUCCUGGGCUCAGGGCUGUCCGUGUGACCUGAGAACUUGGAAGUGGUCUCCACAGCAACCCGUGACCCUGGUCUCGCAAGGAACACAGAGCUGCAUCAUCCUCUGUCCUCCUGGCAGCCUCUGUCCAGGGCUGGGCUGCCAGGCUGAGCCUCUGUUAGUGUUUAUCUCCAAGUGCCAGCUGCUGUUCCACAGAGCUCGUUCGAGCUGAUGCAGGGGAGAAGGGCUGGCAGGAGGAAAUGAGUCUAAAUCUUCUCUCCCUCAAUGAACUCAUGUCAGCCGGCUUUGCUGGGGCGGUCCUGCCCCGCGCUCACUCCGAGCACCAGUCUCCUUUGGAGCUGGAGGCACUGUCGCGCUCAGCCCUGAUUUGGCGUUCACAGUGUGCUCCCCUGUGGAGAGAGAAGAGAGACAAUAAGAAGCUCCCUGGUAAAACAUCCGUGGUCUUGGCUGGCAUCCACCAGCGUCUUGGGCUUCAGGUUCAAGCAUUUGCUGCUCUGUCAGUUCUCUGGUGCCCCAGAAGAAGGGGGGCUGGCAUGCCAGUGAUGCCAGCAGUGUGGCUGCUGUUGGCAGGGGAGGCAAACAUCGGGGUACAGCUCCCCUGGCCAUAGGAACAUGGAGAAGCUCGGUGGAAACUCAGUGGAAGCAUGUGCCCAGAGCCUGGUGUGCACUGGGGGUGCACUGGUUUGCACCAUCCAGCACAAACACACUGUGAGGGCUGGUUCAGAGCACUCUGAACUGGUACCAGCCCAGGAGCUGCACAUCCUUGCAGCCAAAGCAAUGUCCUGUGCUCUCUGGCCUCAGGUGCUCGAGCAAGGGCUGCUGCAUCUUCUGUCAGCCUGAAAUCCUCCUGGACAUGAGACUGACACCAGCAGCUAGUUACUGUACCCAGGGGGAGAACUGUCCCUCCCUGGGGCACCCAGGAGGGUGGGAGCUGUGGGUGUGUGGGGAGGUUCACUCGCUCCUGGCUGGGAUGGAGACCCCCUUGUCUGAUCCUGGACCCAGACUGAGGGACAGUGUGUGGCUGCUGUGCCAGGGUCUCACCCAAAACUCUUCUCCUCCCUCUUGUUCCCCUCUCCUGGGCUCUCUCCUGGGGUGUUCCUGGCUGCCUCAGUGACUCACAGGGGUGUCUGGGCCUGAAUGCUCCCUGCAGUGCCCAGGGACAAGGGGACAGGCUGUGCUGGACAAACCUCAGUGCCCUGGGGAGGGCCAGCUCUGUGCCCUGGCAUUGUUAUUCCCAGUGCCUGGCAGUGUACCUCAUGGACAGCACUGUCCUGCGUGGCCCUGGCACUGGGGAUGCUCAGGAUUACUCAGGUGAGCUCUGGCCAGGGUUCACCCUGCCUUGGGCACCCUCACCCUGCUGGGCUCAGUCGCCUCCCUAUUACCCUUCUGAACAAGCUGGGGGCUUUCUCUUGCUCUCUCCAACUAGUGUUAAAAUGGUUUUUUACUGGCAGAGCUGGUAACUCUUUAACCUGAAAUCUUUUUCCCCUCACAGGUAUAAUUUUUAAAAUGAUUUCAUAACUUCCUUUUCUUGGCUGAAAUAAUGAGACCUGGAGGAAAGUGCUUUGUUUAAAUAACACAAAUAGCUCUUUUAUGCACUUUCUAACCCUCAGUCACCUCCAGAAGGAGGGAUUUGGGGCCUUGGCACAGAGCCACCGUGCUGCAGCUGCUGGUGACAAGGUGUCUGAGCACCCCGGUGCCACAGGGGGCUGCUGUCCCUUAUCCCUUCAGAGUUCCUCCCCAGCCCCAGGCCACAGCCCCGAGCAGUGCUCUGAGCUGUGCCGGGGCCAGCAGUGUCCCUGGGAGCUGCUGCUGGACCUGGGGCACCAGAGGGGCAGGGUGCCCAUGGCCGCAAUGGUGGCAGCUGUGCCAGGAGCUGUGCCAGGAGCUGCUCGGGGAUAAUGUCACUGUUAUCCCUGAGCACUGAGCCUGGCUCUGAGCCCAGCUCCAUCACUGUGCACUGAGCCCAGCUCUGAGCCCAGCUCUCCAUCCCUGUGCACUGAGCCUGGCUCUGAUCUCGGCUCUGAGCACAGCUCUGAGCCCGGCUCCAUCACUCCACUCUGAUCUCGGCUCUGAUCUCGGCUCUCCAUCACUCCACACUGAUCUCAGCUCUCCAUCCCUGUGCACUGAUCUCGGCUCUGAGCCCAGCUCUCCAUCACUCCACUCUGAUCUCGGCUCUGAGCCCAGCUCUCCAUCACUCCACUCUGAUCUCGGCUCUGAGCCCAGCUCUCCAUCACUGUGCUCUGAGCCCAGCUCUGAUCUCAGCUCUCCAUCACUCCACUCUGAUCUCGACUCUGAUCUCAGCUCUCCAUCACUCCGCUCUGAUUUCGGCUCUCCCGGCCCUUCCCCAGCUCGGAGCCGGUACCGUGUGCCGCGUGUACACCCUAAAGGAGAGCAGCAGCACUGCAGGGCAGCAGCGCCGGGAUCCGCAGCUGCCGACAGCCCGGAGAGAAGCACGGCAAGAGGCAGUGCAUGGUGCUGCUUGAGAGAGACCGUGGUACCUCAUCAAAAGUGUCUGCGGCCGGCAGUGCCUGCUCAUCCUCACGAGGAGGAAAUUCGCUGCCCUAAUCACCGAAAUGUCAAAUGUCACACUGUGUGAAGUGCAUUUCUCUUCCCUGCAGCGCCUUGGAGAUGAGCACGCCUCAGGUACCGUGCGCUGCCAGCCUGUCCUUCCAGAGAACGGGGGAAGCUGCAGAGUGAGCCCAGCCCUCCUUUCCUGGGGAUGCUUUUCCACUUUGAGUUCUUGAGUCUGUAAGAUGGGGGAGCUGUUGCAUUGUACAAAAACGGCAGGGAACGAUCCUGCUCCUCGGGAGCCCCCUGUCUCCCUGCUGCCAGGCCAGAGGUGAGAAUGCUGUCCUGGUGCCAGGCCAGAGGUGAGAACGCUGUCCUGGUGCCAGGGCAGAGGACAGAACGCUGUCCUGGUGCCCGGCCAGAGGAGAGAACGCUGUCCUGGUGCCCCAGCUCUCAGCCUCAUGGCCGGGCAGACUCAGGGCAGGCAGUGCUGAACCUGCCCAGGGCACACAGACCCUCAGCACUGCUUCUGGUUUUAUUUAAGGUGUGGAAUUGUCCCUGGGGUGCCUUGGUGGGUGGUGAAGCCCCAGCAUGUGGUGGUGCCCUGGCCUUGGUGUGCCAGCCCCACACUGCCUGUGAAUGAGACCUCACACCCAAAACCACCACGGGCUGGUGACAGGCUUAGCCUCAAACAGACUCGCUUCGUCUGGUGGAACCAAACUUAGAUAAUAAUAGCUGGAGUGCACCCUUUUUGCAUUUUUAAUCAAAAAACAGAUUUAAAGUCAUGAGCAAAGUAAUUGUAGUGUCUGAUUACUUAAUCCUUUAACAGACUUGUUCUUUGAGAAAUAAAAUAAUGUACUGAUUUUUUUUUUAA